AGAGUUUGAUCCUGGCUCAGAACGAACGCUGGCGGCGUGGCUAAGACAUGCAAGUCGUACGGACCGCGGUAGCAAUAUUGCGGUUAGUGGCGAAAGGGUGAGUAAUGCAUGGGUAACGUACCCUGAACUCGGGGAUAACAGCGGGAGCAAUCCCUUUAGCGAAAGUGCUGCUAAUACCCGAUGAAGUCGCCGGGUCGCAUGACCGGGCGACCAAAGGUGGGGACCGCAAGGCCUGCCGGUUUGGGAGCGGCCCAUGUCCUAUCAGCUAGUUGGUGAGGUAACGGCUUACCAAGGCUAUGACGGGUAGCCGGACUGAGAGGUCGAUCGGCCACAUCGGGACUGAGACACUGCCCGGACACCUACGGGUGGCUGCAGUAACGAAUAUUGGGCAAUGGGCGCAAGCCUGACCCAGCGACGCCGCGUGCAGGAGGAAGUCCUUCGGGAUGUAAACUGCUGUCAGGGGCUAGCAAGCAAAGGGUGUUAACAGCAUCCGGCGUUGAGCCGCCCCAGAGGAAGCCUCGACUAACUCUGUGCCAGCAGUCGCGGUAAGACAGAGGAGGCAAGCGUUGUUCGGAAUCACUGGGCUUAAAGCGCGUGUAGGCGGCGGCGCAAGUGUCGUGUGAAAUCCCACGGCUCAACCGUGGAACUGCACGGCAAACUACGUCGCUUGAGGUUGGUAGAGGUGCCUGAAACUCUCGGUGGAGCGGUGAAAUGCGUUGAUAUCGAGAGGAACGCCGGGAGCGAAAGCGAGGCACUGGGCCGAUUCUGACGCUGAGACGCGAAAGCGUGGGGAGCAAACAGGAUUAGAUACCCUGGUAGUCCACGCUGUAAACGA
rnacentral:rRNA from 1 species